GAAGCUGACAAAUCCUUUAUCCCAAAUGCACGGGAGUCAUGGAAAUGCACAACUUUUCCUGGCUGGGGCCACGGCUCUGCAGGCUGUGUGUGUGUGUGGGUGUACAGCACACCCAAGAAGUGCAUGAGGAAAGGGAAUUAAAAGGUGUGAUGACGGUGCCUGCUCUCGACGUUGACUCUGUCACCAGUCUUGGAUGGGCGGCAAGCCUGCGCCCCUUGUCCAGCAUGCGGCGCUAGUCCCUGUUCUCCCAGGCAGGGUGUGGUGAGUCAGGAUUCACACCCAGCGUGGCUGUUCUUGGGGUGUCCCCUGAAUACUCUUGGAUCUCCCUGCGACCCCACAGCCUCUUCCUCACACAGAUGCUCCAUGGCAUUUUUCUGCUUCCUGGCUACCUGUGACUUAAUGUGUUAACCCAUCCUUAGUAUCACAAACUGCACAGAGACUAUGCCAUCUCCCCAGCUCAGGGCCACCCUGCAGCCACUGGCUGGUUGCUAAGAAGCCCCUGAUGAAGUUGAUCGGCAGGUGUACACAUCUGGUGCCUGGGCUGAGAGGCAUCAUCAAUUCAAUGAAAGAGGAUACAUCAGUGGGACUUGAACCGUAGAUCUCCCAAGUGGCAACUUCACUCCUAUGACAGGAGCAACCCAAGAAACCAAACACGCUUCUCAAAUUCAACCCGAGCCUGCGUUCCACAUGGACUGAACAAGGCUGCAAGUGUGGUGUGUAGAGGGAAGCCAUCAAAUCUGCAGAGGAAUGAGUGUCCAG